rnacentral:rRNA from 1 species
CGAGCACGCGCGUGUGGCAUAUCAAUAAGCGGAGGAAAAGAAACUAACAAGGAUUCCCUUAGUAACGGCGAGUGAAGCGGGAAGAGCUCAAAUUUGAAAUCUUCAAGGUUCUACCUUGACGAAUUGUAGUUUAUAGAAGUGUUUUCUGUUAGUGGAGUGGCAAAAGUUCUUUGGAAUAGGACAUCAUAGAGGGUGAGAAUCCCGUAUUUGGUCAUUCCUCCUAGCGUUGUGAUACACUUUCAACGAGUCGGAUUGUUUGGGAAUGCAGUCCAAAAUGGGUGGUAAAUUUCAUCUAAAGCUAAAUAUUGGCGAGAGACCGAUAGCGAACAAGUACCGUGAGGGAAAGAUGAAAAGAACUUUGAAAAGAGAGUUAAACAGUACGUGAAAUUGUCAAAAGGGAAGCGUUUGACACCAGUGUUGUUUUUCCGGAAAUCAAUUACGAAUGUUUUAGUUUUUAAGGAGUUAUGACUUCAUCGGCUUGCUCCUUUCUUUAUGAAACUUUCUUAAUGCAGCUUUUCGGUUAACAAGUCAACAUCAAUUUCUUUUGUUGUAAAAGGGUAUGAGGAAGGUGGCUUUCUUUUCGGAGAAAGUGUUUAUAGCCUUGUGCCUCUGCAAUCGGAGAGAUUGAGGUCUGCAGCGUAGAUCCUUCGGGGUUAGAUACGUUUGUGCUAAGUUAUAGCUUUUCAUAGACAACUUGUUGACUAUGUUUAGUCUUGUAGCUUACUCGCUGACGCUAUUUUACCUACGCUUAGGAUGUUGAUGUGAUACUGCGAGC